UACAGAGGGUGCAAGCGUUGUUCGGAAUUAUUGGGCGUAAAGCGCGUGUAGGCGGGAGGGCACGUCCGUCGCUGAAAUCCCCCGGCUCAACCGGGGAACGGGCGCGGAUACGACCUUCCUGGAGGGGCGUAGGGGGACCUGGAACUUCCGGUGGAGCGGUGAAAUGCGUUGAGAUCGGAAGGAACGCCCGUGGCGAAAGCGAGGUCCUGGACGCCUGCUGACGCUGAGACGCGAAAGCCAGGGGAGCGAACGGG
rnacentral:rRNA from 1 species